AACCUUGUUGCUAGGGACCGGGCGGUUUGCGGCAACCGUGGGCACUGCUGAAUUUGAAUUGAGGGGCGAGGGAAAAGUUUUCCUCAGGUGUGGUGGGGAGAGGGAGGCGGAUGCCGGGAAACCGUAGGGACGCGGUCAGAAAGGCGACGGGCUGUCGGAGUUGGAAAGGUAAAGUUGGAGGCUCGGCGGCGUCCUGCCUCCGCGCUGGCCACACCCGCCGCGGCUGCCCGGGGCAGGGAGGGAUCUGGCUGAUUCUCCCUGUACCCUGUGCCCUCGGAGCUGCCCCUCCGAGCGCCCAGAGGUCCCCGCCUGCCUGCUUCCUGGAGGCAGGGCUACCAUCAGUCCCACGCCUCGCGUGUCCGCCCCCCGCACCCCGGGGCCAAGGAAAGGGAUCGCGGUCUGGACUCCCCGGGGAGUUCCCUUGAUGAGGGGAAGGGCAGGUUUGGGGACGGCGAGGACACGCGGCGACCGGAGAGAGGCUACCUGACCCGCGCAGCCCGGACUCCCUUCCCUUCCCUUCCAGGGACGCCUGGUUUCCCCCCAAGCGAACCGGGAUGGGAAGUGACUUCAAUGAGAUUGAACUUCAGCUGGAUUGAAAGAGAGGCUAGAAGUUCCGCUUGCCAGCAGCCUCCUUAGUAGAGCGGAAUGAGUAAUACCCACACGGUGCUUGUCUCACUUCCCCAUCCGCACCCGGCCCUCACCUGCUGUCACCUCGGCCUCCCACACCCGGUCCGCGCUCCCCGCCCUCUUCCUCGCGUAGAACCGUGGGAUCCUAGGUGGCAGGACUCAGAGCUAAGGUAUCCACAGGCCAUGAAUUCCUUCCUAAAUGAGCGGUCAUCGCCGUGCAGGACCUUAAGGCAAGAAGCAUCGGCUGACAGAUGUGAUCUCUGAACCUGAUAGAUUGCUGAUUUUAUCUUAUUUUAUCCUUGACUUGGUACAAGUUUUGGGAUUUCUGAAAAGACCAUACAGAUAACCACAAAUAUCAAGAAAGUCGUCUUCAGUAUUAAGUAGAAUUUAGAUUUAGGUUUCCUUCCUGCUUCCCACCUCCUUCGAAUAAGGAAACGUCUUUGGGACCAACUUUAUGGAAUAAAUAAGCUGAGCUGUAUUUCAAGUAAUAUAGUUAUAAAUUAACAAUGUAGCAGUUAUUGAUAGAGAAAUUGAGAAAACUGAAACGUGACCGGAGUAUUGGAAAUAACGUAGUACAUCACCUAGCACAAUGACACAUAGGCCUACUGCAGUGCAUGAAGGUGGUAUGGACUCAGAACUCUGAAGUCUGAGGAGACAAAUACAUGCCCACCAUAACAACAUCACACAA
rnacentral:lncRNA from 10 species